GAAUUCACAAAAUCCCCGCCUUCCAGGAAGGAGACAGGAGGCAUGCGAUAACUGUUGUCUGGGAGAUACAGACAAAGCACAGUGGGAGCGAAGGAAUAAUACUGGUCAAACAUCCAGGGCAGUCUGCACAGAACAGUUGGCACUGGAACUGCACCAGAGACAUGGAGAUGCCCUCAAUGAUAGGGGGCAGAGUGGUGCAGGGCAGCCGUGGUGUAGAAAGGACAGGAUGUGAGAGGAAAGGAGAAUGGUGGGCAGUCGGGCAGGAAGUGUGAUGAUAGCAGCACCUGGAAGCGGCUUUGGAUGCCAUGCUGAGUUCUUCAGACGGCAGGCGAAAGGUAGAGGGGAGCCAGAGAAGAUUUUUAACAAAAAAGUGACAUGCUCAUUUAUGUUUUAUUUCUAAAGACGAGAAGACCUGGUCCCUCUUGUUAGGUUUGCAGAGUAUAAAUGACAAGCUACAGGCUUUUAGAAGGAUGCUAGGGCAGUGGUGCAGAGAUCAGAGUGGAAUUCGAGGGACUACAACAAGGAGGUCUUGGGCAAAAAUUCCUGGAGCAAAAGCAAGAACCCACAGAAGAACAUGGUGCCCUUAAGCAGUGCGCAGCCUGUAUAAUUACACAAAGGAAGGCUGGAAAACCAGAAUGUUAAAAGCCCAAGAAGAAGAGUAGCUCCAAAGAUCCAGGAAGCAGAGCACCAUCACCAGGAUAAAUGAAUUUCAACUAUAUUGAAUCACUGCAUUGUUCCAUUCAAGAUAUAAAUUCCAGAGAGAAAGCAUUUGAUUGGUCCAUCUUGGGUCACAUGCCUAUACUUUGGCCAGGGCAUGGCAAGGUCCCCUGAUUAACACCCACUUCGCACUGCGUCAAAUCAAGAGGCACAGUUUCCCAGGACAAAAUUAUGGUGCUAUUCCCAGAAAAGUGAACACAUACUGAGCAGGCAAUAACAACAGAUGGCCAACACAAAAAAUUAAUUAGGGAUCAGAUAUCUUUACUGUAGGAGUAGGACUUCUCAGAGCCUUCAAUUAGCAAAUCUUAUUUUCUGAAUCCUUCAUAGGAGAUAAAAUAUAGAGCAUGUCUCAAUUAUAUUACCAAGAAACCAUUUUUCGACAGAGCAUUUAAAGAGACUAAUGAGUUUCCCAAAAAACACUUUUAGGAAAAUUAAAUCCUUUCCGGUUUUCCACUAAAUUGGCCUUUACAAUUUUUUCUCUGGGUUUUGAGCAUUUGUGUGGUUAAGUUGUUCAAUGAUGCAUAACUUAUGAUAUAUUGUGUUUCUUUCAGUAUAAUUGAGCAAUUUUAUCAUAGAAAUUGCACUACUCAAUUUUAUUAAGAAAAAUCUCCCUUUUCCUAAGAUAGUAAUAUAUUCAGAUUUACAAAAUAUUUCAAGGCAUGGAUCAGACAAAACAAGCAUUCAAAAAAGCACAAUUACAAAAUAAGAAAAAGGUGAACUGUGUUCCAAAAUGAGAGGAAUACAAACAAUUUAUCAAUUUUACUGUUCCAAGUGAUUGGACAGGAGCAUAAAAAUGCAUUUAAAAAUUUCUAUUACCAUAAAACUCAUAGAGAGACAUUUAUUUAUAGGAAGUAAAAUAACAGAAUGCUGCAUGUAAAAUAGGUAGCCUGUUAGCCCCAAAGCUAGAGCCAUUUGGGAAAGAGUUCCCAGAAAUUAAUUAAGAGGAUACACUGAAAUCAACCAGACAUGGGUUGAAAUCCAGGACCCAUCCUAAAGUAACUACGUGAUCUUGAGCAAAUUACAAGCUCUCUUCUGUUAUCUUAUUUCUAAAAUAAGAACAAUGACACCUACUUUAGAGGCUGGCUAACCAGUGCACUCUUCAAUUAACUACUGUCUUACUAUUUAUAAAGUUUGGAGCAAAUUAAAAAUACUAAUUGUCCCCUUAGCAUAGCCUCCUGGCCAUGUAGCAUAGCUAAUGAAAUGAGUGUAUGACAGUAAAGGGGCAUGGAUCUGGGUCCACCACAGAGGGACAUCAACUUAGAGGCAGGGAGGCAUAGAAAGGGAAAUCACUGAGCAAGUCACAGGCCUCAAGUUUGUGUAUCAGUCUAUACAGGCAGUUAUAGGACCAUGAUGAAGAGAAGAAACUUUUCAGUCGCUCUGGGUUCUCAUCCUCACUCCAUCACCCACUAACUAGCUUUGUGAUCUAAGAAAAGGUACCUAUCCUCUCUUUGCUUCAGUUUCAUCAUUUUUAAAGGUUGCAUAAAAAAGUCUAUCUCACUGGAUAGCUGAAUCAAGUGUGGCCAUGUGUGUUGUGUGUUUAUCUCAAUGCAUGGCACAUAAAUGCUCAGCCAAUGCUAGCUAGUAAUCCUAUUACUAGUAGUACUAGCAGUAUUGAUAAUAGUAGUGGAGUUUCCAGGCUUUGGCUCAGGAAUAAAAUGUGUGUCUCCACAUGAUUAAGGAUUAAAAAGGAAAAUAAGAGUUAUCAUUCUAUAUAGACUGGGUUAUCCAGGCAGCCACUGAGGACAACAAGGCCAAGAUACAGAUACAGAAACAAGGUACCUGUGGGAGACCAAGUGAUAAUAGCAGGGUAGAAACACAGCAACUAAAACUGGGACACAUAAUCAGGUUUUAACUAGCAUCAAGUAUGGCAUGAUGCAAUUGGGCUAAACUUGCUGACAUAGAGAUCAAGAUGGCUCAGCUGUUGGUAGAGAACUCUGGGAAAGGCAGACAGGCAACUCAUAAGCACAGAAAAGGCACAAUAACUCCUUAUGUAUGCAGAGGUCAUUUAUUCAGUAGUCUCUCUCACAGAGCAAGUAAACAAAAAGGGUUUCUGAGCAAUCUUUGUCAUAAAGCCCACGAAACAAAACACACAUCUUCUACUCAAAAGUAAUUUUUCAUCUCUUCAUUCAGCUCCUGUUUACUGGCAUUUUACAUACAAUUUCAAUGAGCAUUUGUAUCUGGUUUCCUAGCCCAGGACAGAUUUAGGGAGAAAUGAGAAACUUCUAGUGGCAGGAAUCCUGUCAAAAAGGCAAGCACUGUAAAAUUAUUAAAAAAUAGAAACAAGUCUUAUAAAGCAUAGUGGUCUUGUGCCAUUGCAUGCAAGGGCAAAUUGCCUUGGAUGCCUCACAAGCCAAGAAAGCACAUUAUAAUACUAGAUGUUCAUAAUGAUAAUUUUGAGUCUUCUCAUCUUAAUAAAUAGUAUCAACGAUCACCAGCGGUCAAGCCAAACAUCCAGAAGUCACUAUCUUUGCCUUAUCCUACAUAUCUAAUCCAUCAGCAAGUCUUGAUGAUCAUAAAGCUAAAAUAUGCUCUGGAUCUGUCUGUACACUUCUCGCCACCAUCACUGUCAUAGCCCAAGCCACUGUAGUCACUUGCCUAGAUCACAGCAAUGGCCUCCUAGCUGGCCUCCUCAAUAAUCCAUUCACCUUGCAAAAACCAAAGUGAGCUUUUAGAGACAAACAUUGUAUAUGUCAAUUCCCUGAUUUAAAGCUCUAGGAGCUUUCUACCAUCUUAAAAGGGAAAUCAAGAUGCAGUAUUCUGUUUCUGAGACCUGUAAGAUCCAACAACUGCUUUCCUGGAUGCUUAUGUCCUCCUCCAUCCAGCCACACUCUCCUCUCUGUUCCUUGAAUAUGCCAAGAUCACAGCUGCCGGGGACUCUCUGCAUUUGUUCUUCUAUCUUCCUGGCAUGCUCUUCCUCCGGAUCUUCACAGACACCAGAUCAAAUGUCACCUCCUCCCACAGGUCUCUCUGAUCACCCAGUCCAAAGUAGCUGCCCCAUCAUUCUAUCACUUUGCCUGGUCUGAUGUUUUUGGAUAACAUUUAACACUCCCCAGAUAUUUCCUGUUUAUUUCAUUGAGCAUGAUCUCUCUCCCACACUGGAAUGUGCUCUUGUCUCUCUCAUUUGCCCUUGUGUCCCCAGUACCUAGAAUAGUGCCAGGCACAAAUAAAUAUUUAAUAAGUAUUUGUGAAAUUAUAUAAAUGAAUAAAUAUGCCUCAAUUUGUUUUAAAAAAAAUAAUAAUCUUCAAACCUUAACCAUUAUUAGUGAAUGCACAUAAGUCAUGUGCAGCCCCCUCAUCACUAGUAAGGUCCUACUGAUGGCUAAGAACCUCUCCUAUGCCCAAUGACAAGAGGUGUGAGUGUUUUCUCCCAGGAGAGCAGCAUGAUGGAGAAGGGCUUUGACAGAGGUGAAUCUAGAGGGUGUGUGCAGAAUAGAUCAAAGGGGGACAAGCAACAGCCAAAGUGGUCAGUUAGAUUCCUGUUUUAUCUAUCCAGGUGGAAAGUGAUGAAGCCUGAAUUAGUGGCAGGAAAAUGAAGGAACAGAUGCAAGGAUCAUUGUGAUGAAAGAAAUAACAGCAUUGGAGGCUGAUUAGAUUUGCCGGGGGAGCCACAAGAGUGAAGGAGCUCUGGGAGCUCAAAAUCUGGCAAUGAUCUUCUCCUACUUAUAUGAAGUCUGCUUCCUAUAAAUGACACUCUGAGUGAUUUAAUAAAGGAAUACAGAUUCAUUAACUGAGAUAGCAGUAUGUUCCUCUUUAUUUUCCUUAUAUAAUACUUAUGAAAAUCGUACAUUCUUUUAAAAGACUGGGAAGAUUUAUUUGAUAUCAAUAAACAUAUCACUUAAAAAUAUUUAAGUAAUUAUAUCCAUGUACUAUAAGAAUACAAUUAUUUUGAAUGAAUUCAAUGAAAAACAACAGUUUGGUCUUUUUUAAUUCUUUUAACACUUUGAUAACUUGACUGAAUUUUUCACUUUACCUUUCCUUGGUGUGGUGUGUUCAUUUUCUAUUGCGGCUGUAACAUUGCCGCAAACUUAGCAGC
rnacentral:lncRNA from 1 species